CGAACAUUCACGGACCUUGCACUACAAAGCCAAGCUGAAAGAGCCCACAAGCCUUAUGAAUUCAUUCACUUAAGAACAGCGACAAGGGCCACCACCAAAAGAACCAUUGUGCCCCUGACGGCGUGUUGAGACCUUCGUGAUGUGGACCUUUGGCUGUCAUGUCUGCGUACUCCCACACUCUCCCGCUGUGAUAGCGAAGGACUCUUACCCUUCUAGAACUGUAAGCCCAAACAAACUCGACUUUGGUUGCCUCCAACUUGGUAUUUGAUCACAGCAAUAGAAAAGGAACUAAAACAGGCCGCGACUUAGGGAGUGAAGAGCAUAUCCUUGAACAGCACGCGUCAUUUGUUCUGUGGCCAUGUGACCUGAUCCAGUCAUCCUCCUUCUGUGAUUACUUCGCUCAGCAUUUAACUAGACUGUGGAUAUGUUCGCCACAUCAUUUCCUUUCAGCUGGUCAGAGGCCUGAGUCAGAGUCCUGAUGGCAUGAGCAAGAAUGACUUGAAUAACCACUUGAGGAUACUGAGGACUUGGACACGCUACAGGGACCCUGAUGCCAAGGGUUCCCACCCAGCUGCACCUGGCCAUCCCCCCGCAAGCCAUGACAUCAUCAGAGGCUAUUUUCUCCAGAGAGCCAUGCUUUUUAGCUCAUGCUGCUGGCAUCAUGUCCACCUCAUUUGCUGGUGUGCCACACAGCCAGCCACGUAAAAGAACUACACAGACAUUUCAGCGAUCUCACUUAGAUCUGAAAAUAGCACAUCUUUGCUUUCUUUGAGCUUCCCUGCCCUCUAAUUGUCCAGAUGAGCCCUGUCAACUUUAUUUUAGAAUUAUAUGGAAGUAGAAACUCUUUCUUUCUCCAUCCAGAUUUUUUAAAUGCCUUAAAAAUAUGGAUUGCUAACUGCCAAACACAAAAGGGCAGUUCAUUCAUUCAGCGAGGUUCUUCUCUAGAGAUAACUGCUUCUCUGUCUAUACCACACUCCAGCCCCUCCACUGCCCACAAUCAAUGAAUUUCAAUCACAUUCAACGUCUUGCUGCACAGAGCAAUUCUUUGAUCUUGUAGGCUUUUUGGAUAGCUGAUAUUGUAAAGCUGGAGUUAAUAUUGAAGUUCCUUACUUCUGAGCAAUUAAGAGUCCCAUCAAUAGUGUUUGGCAAAGGAAAAGAGACUCAGACUCAGACAGGAGGCUGCCAUUUUGGUUUUCAAACCACACAGAAGGCUUGCCUUAAAUGGGUGUGUUAGCUUUCAGUUAUUGUAACAAGUG